rnacentral:rRNA from 1 species
UCGAACGAUGAAGCCUUUCGGGGUGGAUUAGUGGCGAACGGGUGAGUAACACGUGGGCAAUCUGCCCUUCACUCUGGGACAAGCCCUGGAAACGGGGUCUAAUACCGGAUAAUACUUCUGCCUGCAUGGGCGGGGGUUGAAAGCUCCGGCGGUGAAGGAUGAGCCCGCGGCCUAUCAGCUUGUUGGUGAGGUAGUGGCUCACCAAGGCGACGACGGGUAGCCGGCCUGAGAGGGCGACCGGCCACACUGGGACUGAGACACGGCCCAGACUCCUACGGGAGGCAGCAGUGGGGAAUAUUGCACAAUGGGCGAAAGCCUGAUGCAGCGACGCCGCGUGAGGGAUGACGGCCUUCGGGUUGUAAACCUCUUUCAGCAGGGAAGAAGCGCAAGUGACGGUACCUGCAGAAGAAGCGCCGGCUAACUACGUGCCAGCAGCCGCGGUAAUACGUAGGGCGCAAGCGUUGUCCGGAAUUAUUGGGCGUAAAGAGCUCGUAGGCGGCUUGUCGCGUCGGUUGUGAAAGCCCGGGGCUUAACCCCGGGGUCUGCAGUCGAUACGGGCAGGCUAGAGUGUGGUAGGGGGAGAUCGGAAUUCCUGGUGUAGCGGUGAAAUGCGCAGAUAUCAGGAGGAACACCGGUGGCGAAGGCGGAUCUCUGGGCCAUUACUGACGCUGAGGAGCGAAAGCGUGGGGAGCGAACAGGAU